UGUGAUCUCGGCUCACUGCAACCUCCGCCUCCCGGGUUCAAGUGAUUCUCCUGCCUCAGCCUCCCAAGUAGCUGGGAUUACAGGCAUGUGCCACCACGCCUGGCUAAUAUAUAUAUGUGUGUCCCCAGCCACACACUGGAAUCGCAGAGAAUCACACAGGGGAGUCAAGACUCUUUCUGCCUUUGAAGGCGUCCAUGUCCCAGUAGAGAAAACAGGCAAAGAAGAUGGAGAAUAUUCCAGGCAGAACACAGCAUGAACAAAGACCAAAAGAAUGAAAUUAGAAUUCUGUACACAGUCAUAAAAAAGAACAAAAUCAUGUUCCUUGCAGUCACGUGGACGCAGCUGGAAGCCAUUAUCCUAAGCAAACUAAUGCAGGAAUAGAAAAGCAAAGACUGCAUGUUCUCACUUAUAAGUGGAAGCGAAACACUGGGUUCUCAUGGACAGAAAGAUGGGAAGAAGAGACACUGGGGACUCGUGGCGGGGGGAAAACUUACCAUUGGGUAUAUGUUCAAGUACCUGGAUGAU